UACGUAGGUGGCAAGCGUUGUCCGGAUUUAUUGGGUUUAAAGGGUGCGUAGGCGGAUUUGUAAGUCAGUGGUGAAAUCCUGCAGCUUAACUGCAGAACUGCCAUUGAAACUGCUUAUCUUGAGUACAUUUGAGGCGGGCGGAAUGUGUCAUGUAGCGGUGAAAUGCUUAGAUAUGACACAGAACACCGAUUGCGAAGGCAGCUCGCUAAACUGUAACUGACGCUGAUGCACGAAAGCGUGGGGAUCCAACAGG
rnacentral:rRNA from 1 species